rnacentral:rRNA from 1 species
UACGAAGGGGGGCUAGCGUUGCUCGGAAUUACUGGGCGUAAAGGGAGCGUAGGCGGGUUAUCAAGUUGGAGGUGAAAGCCCAGGGCUCAACCUUGGAAUUGCCUUCAAAACUGAUAGCCUAGAGUAUGAUAGAGGUAUGUGGAACUCCGAGUGUAGAGGUGAAAUUCGUAGAUAUUCGGAAGAACACCAGUGGCGAAGGCGACAUACUGGGUACAUGACUGACGCUGAGGCUCGAAAGCGUGGGGAGCA